AGUGGCGCACGGGUGCGUAACGCGUAUGCAACCUACCCAUAAUUGGAACAUAACGUUGAGAAAUUAACGCUAAUAUUCUAUGUGAAUAUGAAGAGGCAUCUUUUUAUAUUUAAAGAUUCAUUGAUUAUGGAUGGGCAUGCGGAUCAUUAGCUUGUUGGUGAGGUAACGGCUCACCAAGGCGACGAUGAUUAGGGGUUCUGAGAGGAUAUCCCCCCACACUGGAACUGAGACACGGUCCAGACUCCUACGGGAGGCAGCAGUAGGGAAUAUUGGGCAAUGGAAGCAAUUCUGACCCAGCCAUGCCGCGUGAAGGAAUACAGCCCUAUGGGUUUUAAACUUCUUUUAUUAUAGAGUAACCGGAGGUACGUGUACCUCCCUGCAAGUAUAUGAUGAAUAAGGAUCGGCUAACUCCGUGCCAGCAGCCGCGGUAAUACGGAGGAUCCAAGCGUUAUCCGGAUUUAUUGGGUUUAAAGGGUGCGCAGGCGGAUCAAUAAGUCAGGGGUGAAAAAUUUCAGCUUAACUGGA
rnacentral:rRNA from 1 species